UACAGAGGUCUCAAGCGUUGUUCGGAUUCAUUGGGCGUAAAGGGUGCGUAGGCGGUGGGGUAAGUCGGAUGUGAAAUCCCGGGGCUCAACCCCGGAACUGCAUUCGAAACUGCCUUGCUCGAGUACUGGAGAGGAGACUGGAAUUUACGGUGUAGCAGUGAAAUGCGUAGAUAUCGUAAGGAAGACCAGUGGCGAAGGCGAGUCUCUGGACAGUUACUGACACUGAGGCACGAAGGCCAGGGGAGCAAACGGG
rnacentral:rRNA from 1 species